AAGUAUAUGUGCGCAGACGAAGGAGCUUUUGACCGACGCCAAAUAGAAGUUAAGGGUCAGAAGAAGAAGAAGAAACAGAAAAAAGAAGCCCCGACCAAAUCAAGUUAGCCAUCUUCUAAUAAGCAAGCCUUGCCUCGAAGGAGUCCAAGGUCAAAUUACGGCAGAUAUGACUCUUAUACUUUUCUCUCUGCUCCUCGUGCGCAGAUCUUCA
rnacentral:lncRNA from 1 species